rnacentral:lncRNA from 1 species
AAACUAUCUCAUCGAUAGUUAGGUAAAAGUUAUCAGUCGUCUCUGUUAAGCUAUCAAUACGGUAAAACAAUCAUUUUCCCCAGUGAAACUAUAUUCCCCUAGUGGAGUCAGAUCCCUUUCUCAAAGAAUUUGGGUAUCCGUUGCGAUUUCUCAUUUAAGUCAAGUCAUCUUUGUCGUCCUGCAUUCAUAAAUUGCAUCACAUGCAUUCAUAGCAUCUUAGGUCAAAAAUUGUGUACUUUGUAUUUAAGUCUCUUCGACUCGUCAAAUCAAAGAUUUUAUCUUCAAAUUUCCGGACGAAAAAACUUAAAUAGGGGCAUGUGUCAUACCCCAAUUUUUUACCUAAGGUCCCACUGACACGUGUCGCUUAACCCUGAUCAAUCUCUGACGUUUUAGUAAAAAUUCGGCAGGGAGGUAUUUUAAAAUACCUCAUUUGAUUCCGAGUGGGGCCCUCUUCUCUCAAUCUUCAAUCAUUUUAUUUCCAUCUUUUAUUUUUAAAUUAAUCCUAAUUUUUAUUUUAAUAAAUCAAUAUUUCUUUUAAUUCAAAUUACUUCUUUUUUAGAUAAGUCCAAAAGUCAAAUCUGCACUUAAUUUAUUUUUAUUUUUAUUUUCUCAUUUAUUAUUUUAUUCAUUUGUUACUAUCCGAAAAAAUCAAAAAAAGGUCCCAAUCCAAAUCCGGUCACACGCGUGUGCUUCAACUCAUCUCAAUCCAAAUCCAGCGCAACGCAUUCCAAUCUAACAACAGCUAACACGCCCCUCUCAUCUCAAAUCAAGCACAAGUUUCUGCUCAUCUCAACAAACCCUCAACCCAGCACUAUAAAUAACAACCUGCACAACACAGAAAAGAAAACGCAACACAGCAGAAUCGCACAACACCACACAGGAAACACACAGAAAAAGCCAGAGCACACAAAGAAGCAAAACCAGCAAGGAACAACAUCAACUCGAAACUGCACUUCCAGAACCAGUCACAACACGAAAUCGCAAGCCAGCACCAUAACAGAACCGGAUCCGCGAAAGAAACAAAGAGGUAGUAUUUUCUUUACCUUUAGAUCUAGGCCUCUGUGUGUACGUGUUUGAAAAUCUAGGUUUAGAACUGAAUAGAGGGGAGAGAGUCGAGUGAAAACAGCAAAAAAAAAUAGAGUUUUUUAGCUCCGGUGCGGCGCCGCCGCCGCGAUGGCUCGCCGGCCACCGCACCGGAGUCUGCUCCAACCACCCUUCUCGCCGGAGAAGAAGUUUGAGAGAGAAGAGAGAAUUUUGAGGUGAAGAGAGAGAAAUGUUUGUAAAAAUGAGUUAAAAAAACCGGUUACCACAUAUAUAUAGUACCCUAAACCGGUUCGGUUCUCCUGAACCGAUUCAGGCUUGAACCAAACCGGUUUAAGCCCACUAAGCGCGCCCAAGCCUCUCCAUGAAGCCCAAUUCUUUUUUUUUUAUUUCCUGCACCCCCCUGCUUACUACCUGCACCCCCAUCAUCUUUCUUUUUACCAUUUUCAUGCGUUUUUAAAUUUCCCUUGCAUUUAUUUUUUCUUUAGCAUUUUUAUUUCUUUUAUCUUAUUAUUUAUCAGCAUUCACAUAUUUAUUUUAUAUCUUUUAUUUACUUGCAUUGAUUUAGAAUGUACAAUAGGCAUUGAUGUAAAUAAUUUAUUUAUUUCUUCUUGUCAUUUAUUUUCUGCAGACCUUAGAAUGUAAAUAGGCUUUUAUGUAAUAGUGUAGGUGCAUGUGUGUGUAUGCCUCUUAUCUGCUUUGUAGUUUAGGUCAAAGGUCCUUGUGGUGGUCCAAUACCCCAUGAGGUACCUACGUUUUUUAUUUUUAUGCUCCGUUAGUUUAAUUUUUUAGUCCAAUUAUUCAAAAACAACAAAAACAUGCAAAUAACAAAAAUCACAAAAAUAUUUUCAUAAACAAACCUUGAUCCUAAAUCAAGUGAUCGUCUCUUUUUAUUUUUAUUUCUUUAAUCAAAUUUCAAUCAACUUUAAUUCAACUUUAAGUCAUUUUCUUUAAUAUAAAAAACACAAACAAAUUCUUAUUUGCCACUUGGCUUUUCAUUUUAAAACCUUUUUCAAAAUUAAUAAAAAAACACUCAACAAAUCAAACGUCGUUUUCUACCCCGAACUACGAGGUUUUGAUCCCUCACGGGUACGUAGGCAGAGGACCAUGUCCUUCCAAAUCAAUAAAAAAUGUAGAUAAUUAGGUCUUUAUUUUUCCACUUUAAUUCCUUCUUUUCAAAAAUAAGCAAGCAAGUUAUAGCACAUUAAUUAAAUAAAAUCAAGAGGUUCCCGUAGAGUACUACGGACAUAAGGGGUGCUAAUACCUUCCCUUUAUGUAACUAACCCCCGAACCCAAAAUCUUUUCAAAAUGGGGUAGUUUGAACUUUUUUUCCCCUCUUUCUUAAAAAAAAAUAUAAAUGUUCAGUCGUGAAAUAAAUUAGCGAGUCAAAAGCUAAUCAAAUAGCCUUGAUCUCCGAAAAAUGACGCGACAACGUGCAUUGAAGUCAAAGAAUUUGACUCCUAGAUUUAUUGGUCCGUAUCAGAUAUCGGAAAGAGUUGGAACAGUGGCGUACUGAGUGGGUUUACCACCGCAUCUUUCGAAUUUGCACGAUGUGUUUCAUGUGUCACAACUUCGGAAGUAUGUUCCGGAUCCAUCUCAUGUGAUCCAAAGUGAUGAUGUGCAAGUUAGAGAUAGCCUUACGGUUGGGACGUUACCGGUGAGGAUUGAUGAUCGAAAAGUGAAGACGUUGAGAGGCAAAGAGAUACCUCUUGUGAGAGUCGUUUGGGAAGGAGCGACUGGUGAAAGCUUAACGUGGGAGCUAGAGAGUAAGAUGCUAGAAUCUUAUCCAGAGUUGUUUGCAUGAGGUAAAUUUCCGAGGACGAAAAUCUUAUAAGUUGGGGAGAGUUGUAACGCCCUCUUUGAAUGAUUUAAUUAUUUAAUUGAAUCUAGAAUUUACUAAGAUGAGUUUAUAUUAUAUUUAUAUGAUAUAUGUGUGAUUUAAGAGAUUUAUGUGAUUGAGGUGAUUUUUAUGUGAUUUUAUGAGGAAUUGUGACUUAUUUUAUUGUUUAAUAAAAUAAGAUUUGAAAAUAAAAUAAAUAUUGAGUUUAGGGGUUGUUUUGAGAUUUUAGAGAGUUUUGGGGGAGAAAAAGGAAUAAGAUAAAGUAGAUGGAAGAGAUAUAAAUAAGAUGAUGAUGUUCCAAAUUAUUAGAUAUAUAUAAGAGGUUGUUGUUAUAAAAAGUUAAGUUGUUGUGUCCAUGCAUUAGCAUUCAUUGUUGGGGGCUUGAUGCCCUGGAGCCUUUGCUCACCACGUUGGGGGCUUGAUGCCCUAGAGCUUUAGCUCAACUAAGUUGAGGGCUUGAUGCCCUGAAAGUAUAUCAAUACUUAUUACGUUGAGGGUUUGAUGCCCUGGAUUGGUACCACAUGCAUAUAAGAGGUCUAAGUUGCGUAGUCGAGUUGGAGUUGCAUUUGUCGAGUCAAAGUUAUAUAAGUUGCCAAGUUGUUUAAGUUGUGAUUCUUUAUAUGAAUUAUUAAAGAAGUGAUAUAUGAUAUAUUAUUAUCUAUGAUGAAUAUUAUGAUGUUUUCAUGUUGUUAAAUAUAAUUGUUGAAUUAUAUGUUUAAUAUUACUGUUUUGUGAAAUCUCACCCCUUCUGCUUGGAAUUGUUGUUCUUGGUAUGAAUAACUUGUAGGUGAUCGAGAGUAGUUGCUGUUACUUUGCUGUCUUGAGUGGUUAUUCCUCACGGAGUCUUUUAGGUGAUCUGAUACGUAACAGGAUGGGAUCUUUUGUGGCUAUUUCUUAUUCCUUUACAUAUUUGUUUUAUGAAUUUAAAUGAUUAAGUUGUUUAACUGAUUUAUGAGAUGUUUUGAUGAGGCCUGCGUGCCAAGACUUAUUUAUGAUGAUGAACUUUAAAUCCGCU